rnacentral:lncRNA from 1 species
UUUCUCUCAGGCAUCGACAUUUCAAUUUUCCAAACAAUCUAAUACCAGCAUACCCAAAAUAAUAUCAUUAUUUCACAAAAGACAAUUACGCUCUAUUUUACAGUUUUUUGCUGAGAAAAUGAGCAGAAUGAAAGGUCAAUUUUCCUAGACUAUAGCGUUGUAUGUUUUUUUUUUGCCUUAGCAAUUAUCAUUUUUGUUUGAAUAGAC